rnacentral:rRNA from 1 species
CGGCGAUUAAUCCGAGUGUCUAGUGGGCCAUUUUUUGGUAAGCAGAACUGGCGCUGUGGGAUGAACCAAACGUCGAGUUAAGGGGCCUAAUUGAAUGCUCAUUCAGAUCCCAUCGAAAGGCGUUGGUUGCUAUAGACAGCAGGACGGUGGCCAUGGAAGUCGGAAUCCGCUAAGGAGUGUGUAACAACUCACCUGCCGAAGCAACUAGCCCUUAAAAUGGUAUGGCGCUGAAGCAUUCUCCCGAUACUCGACCGCCGGGGGGACACUAGCGACCGCGUCCCCGAGACGUGGUCGUCCUGGAGCCCCGGUGAGUAAGAGGGUCGCAGUGGUGAGCGCUGAAGGGAUCCGGCGUGAGCCGGCCUGGAGCCGCCACUGGUGCAGAUCUUGGUGGUAGUAGCAAAUACUCGAGAGAGAGACUCCCUUGAAGACCGAUGUGGAGAAGGGUUCCAUGUGAACAUCAGUUGGACAUGGGUUAGUCGCUCCUAAGCCCAAGGCUAAGGCCUGAUCCCACGCUAGCGGC